AGUGAACGCUGGCGGUAGGCCUAACACAUGCAAGUCGAACGGCAGCACAGUAAGAGCUUGCGCUUACGGGUGGCGAGUGGCGGAGGGGUGAGGAAUACAUCGGAAUCUACUUUUUCGUGGGGGAUAACGUAGGGAAACUUACGCUAAUACCGCAUACGACCUACGGGUGGAAGCAGGGGAUCUUCGGACCUUGCGGGAUUGAAUGAGCCGAUGUCGGAUUAGCUGGUUGGCGGGGUAAUGGCCCAGCAAGGCGGCGAUCCGUAUCUAGGCUGAGAGGAUGAUAAGCCACACUAGAGCUUGGCCACGGUCCAGAGUCCUACGGGAGGGACCAGUGGCGAAUAUUGGACAAUAGUGGCAAGCCUUGUCCAGCCAUACCGCGUCUGUGACGAAGACCCUCGGGUUGUAAAGACGGUUUGUUGGGAAAGAACAGCAUCAGGUUAAGACCACGCUGUUCUGACGGUACCCAAAGAAUAAGCACCGGCUAACUUCGUG
rnacentral:rRNA from 1 species